rnacentral:rRNA from 1 species
AUUGAACGCUGGCGGCAGGCCUAACACAUGCAAGUCGAACGAGUGGCGGACGGGUGAGUAAUGUAUGGGAAACUGCCUGAUGGAGGGGGAUAACUACUGGAAACGGUAGCUAAUACCGCAUACCAUCGGAUGUGCCCAUAUGGGAUUAGCUUGUUGGUGGGGGAACGGCUCACCAAGGCGACGAUCACUAGCUGGUCUGAGAGGAUGACCAGCCACACUGGAACUGAGACACGGUCCAGCCUCCUACGGGAGGCAGCAUUGGGGAAUAUUGCAAAAUGGGCGCAAGCCGGAUGCAGCCAUGCCGCGGGUAUGAAGAAGGCCUUCGGGUUGUAAAGUACUUUCAGCGGGGAGGCGGUACCCGCAGAAGAAGCACCGGCUAACUCCGUGCCAGCAGCCGCGGUAAUAC